AUUGAACGCUGGCGGCAGGCCUAACACAUGCAAGUCGAACGAGUGGCGGCCGGGUGAGUAAUGUCUGGGAACCUGCCCGCUGGAGGGGGAUAACUACUGGAAACGGUAGCUAAUACCGCAUACCAUCGGAUGUGCCCAGAUGGGAUUAGCUUGUAGGUGGGGUAACGGCUCACCUAGGCGACGAUACCUAGCUGGUCUGAGAGGAUGACCAGCAACACUGGAACUGGGAAACGGGCCAGAUGCCUACGGGAGGCAGCAGUGGGGAAUAUUGCACAAUGGGCGCAAGCCUGAGGCAGCAAGGCGGCGUGUAUGAAGAAGGCCUUCGGGUGGUAAAGUACUUUCAGCGGGGAGGCGUUACCCGCAGAAGAAGCACCGGCUAACUCCGUGCCAGCAGCCGCGGUAAUUC
rnacentral:rRNA from 1 species